AUUGAACGCUGGCGGCAGGCCUAACACAUGCAAGUCGAGCGGAUGAAGGGAGCUUGCUCCUGGAUUCAGCGGCGGACGGGUGAGUAAUGCCUAGGAAUCUGCCUGGUAGUGGGGGAUAACGUCCGGAAACGGGCGCUAAUACCACAUACGUCCUGAGGGAGAAAGUGGGGGAUCUUCGGACCUCACGCUAUCAGAUGAGCCUAGGUCGGAUUAGCUAGUUGGUGGGGUAAGGGCCUACCAAGGCGACGAUCCGUAACUGGUCUGAGAGGAUGAUCAGUCACACUGGAACUGAGACACGGUCCAGACUCCUACGGGAGGCAGCAGUGGGGAAUAUUGGACAAUGGGCGAAAGCCUGAUCCAGCCAUGCCGCGUGUGUGAAGAAGGUCUUCGGAUUGUAAAGCACUUUAAGUUGGGAGGAAGGGCAGUAAGUUAAUACCUUGCCGUUUUGACGUUACCAACAGAAUAAGCACCGGCUAACUUCGUG
rnacentral:rRNA from 1 species